rnacentral:rRNA from 1 species
AACCAGACUCCUACGGGAGGCAGCAGUGAGGAAUAUUGGUCAAUGGGCGAGAGCCUGAACCAGCCAAGUCGCGUGAGGGAAGACGGUCCUACGGAUUGUAAACCUCUUUUGUCGGGGAGCAAAGAGAGUCACGUGUGACUCAUUGAGAGUACCCGAAGAAAAAGCAUCGGCUAACUCCGUGCCAGCAGCCGCGGUAAUACGGAGGAUGCGAGCGUUAUCCGGAUUUAUUGGGUUUAAAGGGUGCGUAGGCGGACGCUUAAGUCAGCGGUAAAAUUGCGGGGCUCAACCCCAUCCAGCCGUUGAAACUGGGGAUCUAGAGUGUGCGAGAGGUAUGCGGAAUGCGUGGUGUAGCGGUGAAAUGCAUAGAUAUCACGCAGAACCCCGAUUGCGAAGGCAGCAUACCGGUGCACAACUGACGCUCAGGCACGAAAGCGUGGGUAUCGAACAGGAUUAGAUACCCCCGUAU